rnacentral:rRNA from 1 species
AUUGAACGCUGGCGGCAGGCCUAACACAUGCAAGUCGAGCGAGCGGCGGACGGGUGAGUAAUGUCUGGGAAACUGCCUGAUGGAGGGGGAUAACUACUGGAAACGGUAGCUAAUACCGCAUACCAUCAGAUGUGCCCAGAUGGGAUUAGCUCGUAGGUGGGGUAACGGCUCACCUAGGCGACGAUCCCUAGCUGGUCUGAGAGGAUGACCAGCCACAAUGGAACGUGGACACGGUCCAGACUACUACGGGAGGCAGCAGUGGGGAAUAUUGCACAAUGGGCGCAAGCCUGAUGCAGCCAUGCCGCGUGUGUGAAGAAGGCCUUCGGGUUGUAAAGCACUUGCAGCGGGGAGGCGUUACCCGCAGAAGAAGCACCGGCUAACUCCGUGCCAGCCGACGCGGUAAUUC